rnacentral:rRNA from 1 species
UACGAAGGGGGCUAGCGUUGUUCGGAAUCACUGGGCGUAAAGCGCUCGUAGGCGGAUCUUUAAGUCAGAGGUGAAAUCCCAAGGCUCAACCUUGGAACUGCCUUUGAUACUGGGGAUCUCGAGUCCGGGAGAGGUGAGUGGAGCUGCGAGUGUAGAGGUGAAAUUCGUAGAUAUUCGCAAGAACACCAGUGGCGAAGGCGGCUCACUGGCCCGGUACUGACGCUGAGGAGCGAAAGCGUGGGGAGCAAACAGG